UGUCUGCAGUUAUUGAAGUCCUCCUAAUUGUGGUUUGAAAACUCGAACUGCAGAGAAUCCUCCAGCAAGUGACCUGCAGAAUCAGAGCCAA